rnacentral:rRNA from 1 species
AGUGAACGCUGGCGGUAGGCCUAACACAUGCAAGUCGAACGGCAGCACAGUAAGAGCUUGCUCUUACGGGUGGCGAGUGGCGGACGGGUGAGGAAUACAUCGGAAUCUACUUUUUCGUGGGGGAUAACGUAGGGAAACUUACGCUAAUACCGCAUACGACCUACGGGUGAAAGCAGGGGAUCUUCGGACCUUGCGCGAUUGAAUGAGCCGAUGUCGGAUUAGCUAGUUGGCGGGGUAAAGGCCCACCAAGGCGACGAUCCGUAGCUGGUCUGAGAGGAUGAUCAGCCACACUGGAACUGAGACACGGUCCAGACUCCUACGGGAGGCAGCAGUGGGGAAUAUUGGACAAUGGGCGCAAGCCUGAUCCUGCCAUACCGCGUGGGUGAAGAAGGCCUUCGGGUUGUAAAGCCCUUUUGUUGGGAAAGAAAAGCAGCAGGUUAAUACCCCGCUGUUCUGACGGUACCCAAAGAAUAAGCACCGGCUAACUUCGU